CAAAUGAAUUUAUCACAUCUGCAGUUGUAUAAUGAUCAUAACAAUCUGAUUUCACAGGAUUUCCAUCCCACAGCCCAAGCACAUCCCCCCACCCCCCAAAACUGUCUCCUCCGGAAACCCUAAGUUUUUCAAGGAAGCACCAAUCUUGAGAAACCCUUUCACUGCCAAGCAGCAGCAGAAAAGGCAGAUGAAAGCCCACAGAAGCCCUAAAGAGGCCCCGUCAAGGUGCCAAGGACCACUGCCACCCAGCUCUCCCUGCACCACCACAGAAUCUCAUGGGACAGAGGAGCCUGGACAAGACUAAGAUUCUCCUGGCAUCAGGGUCCAAAAGGCAGAGGGCAGUGCUGGCUGCCUGCAUUGAAAUGUAAACCCCAUGAAGGCAGGAUGUUUUGGAAGUUUUAUCUCUUUGUUCACUGCUAAAUCCUCAAUGCCUAGAACAGUGUAAGACACGAAAUGGGUGUUCAAUAAACAUUUGCUGAAAGAAUAAAGCAAUGGGCCACAAGGGCUCAAAGGCCACUUCACAGGCCUAGAGCCAGCCCCUCUCUAUCACAGGAGUUAAGAGAAGAAGGCAGCCAGUGCAGAUGCCACGAGAGACAGGGCAGACAAUUCGGUUUGAAAGGAUGGGGGAGAUUGGGACAUGCUGAUAGGCCUAGGGAGCUGCUUAUACCAGAUUGGAUAUUCACAUAGUCAUGGAACAAACAUGUACUGAAGGGCUAAAGAAGGAAGGUAGUCCAACAAAAGGAGCAGAUAUAAACUGCAGUGGAAUAAUACAACGGCAUCCAACCUGGCAAUAAAAAGGCUGAAUUACCAAUACAUACAUACAAUGACAUGAAGGAAUCUCUCAUAUGUUAUGUUGAGCAAAGGAAAUCAGACUCAAGAGAGUACACCUUGUAUGAUUCCAUUUAUGUGGAAGUCAACGACAGGCAAAGGAACCAAAAGUAAAAUAGAAGAGCCAGUAGCUACCUGAUGGGGGAAGGGGCACCAGGGAAGCUCCUAGAUUGGUGGAAAGGGUUCUCCAUCUUGAUCUGGGGGCUGAUUACACAGGAAUAUACUUAUAUAAAAAUAUAUCCAGCUGCCCAUUUCACAUUUGUAUACUGUAUGCACCCUACUAUACCUAUUUCAAACCUCCCUUUCUAAAAAAACAAACUAAAAAAAAAAGUUGGGUCUCAAGAUUAACAUAAUGAGUAUUUAAAAAAAACACAGAAAUACCUUCCCCAAAGAAGAAUCUUUUUCAGGAUUAACAGUGGCUCUUUCUUCCUGGAGUUUAGGACAUAAGCCCUCCAGCCUUCACUCUCUAUUUGCCAGAGGACAGAGGGACCCAAACAAAUGGCCAAGGCCUGGGAAAGCCCCAAACUGUUCCAAACACAAAGGAGAGCAGCCUGAGUCUUAGGCCAGGGAGGUGGUGACCUGCAGGAGGCUGCGUGCAGCCUCUCCUCCAGCCCACAUGAGCUCCAAGGAAGCAGAGCUUGGCAUACAUGGCCGAGCUGAGUGCCGCUGGUCCUGGCGCCCUCUGAAGCAGCCUGUCAAAUUCCCCCAUGGGGCACAGACUGGAUGUCCACAGACUGCCUGCAAGAGCCCAGACAGCGAACUAACUUGUCUUCCUGACAAGCUCAGCAGAGACUGGCUGAAUUAUCCCAACUCUGAGCAAUGGUCAAGGGCUGAGUGCCUACAGCCCCUCCUGCCAGCAAGGAGACGUGGCAAGAACCUCAUGGAGGGUCGAGGGGCGCUCCUUGCAUCAGAAUGGGGACCAGAAAUGAGGCGGCCUCACUCAUCUCAGGACCAGUGAAGCAGUGAGAGCCAUCAUAACAUAUGAGAGAUUCCUUCCAUGUCUGUUGUGUGGGCAAGAACUAAGUAUGUUCUGCCACAGGGCAUCUCAGAGCCCAGGCCACCUGCACUAGAGAAAAGGCAGGCAUCAGUCUGACACGGGAACAUGCUGGCAGCCAGCACCUCACUGUGAUGGUCCAUUAGGCUGAACCCCCUUCCAGGGUGGGAGAUCCUGAGCAGUACUGCUCCCCCUCCCUCCUCCUGGCACCACCUCACAGGAUCAUGACACUGAGCACCGUGGUCUGGGGUCUCCUAGGCAAAAAGGCAAACAUGGCCCCAUUUCCAAAGCACUUCUCACAGACCUAGCAAAAAGGCCAGUCUGCACUCCACCAGCCACACAGGUUGUUUAAGGCCUAGGAGCUGGGCAGGUACAGGCUAGCAGCACACAGCACACAGGCCUAAAAACUCCCUCUGCAAAUCCCACUGAACAUUCAGUGUCACUUGUGCUUGGGAAAGAAAGCCCACUUUAGCGCCUGCCCUCGAUCCUUCCCCAGCCCUCUUAGAAUGCCCAGUUCUCUGAGAGAUGGCGGGGGGGGGGAGAAGGGCUCACCUGCUGCUGCCAGCCAAUUAGAAGGUUGCUUUGCAGGCUGCUGUGUCCCAAGGAGUCCAGGGCAGAAUGCCUAUCAUCUGCAGGUGCCCGCUCCGUGUCAUCAAGGCUUCUCCUGGCCCUUGUGGUGGAGCAUUCAUAGACCCUUCCUUCCCUACUCAGAAAGAGUUGUAGCUCAGUUCCACUUUGCUAAGCCCUAUUUGGCAACGUGUCUAAACACAUGCAAACUUAAUUAGUUCAGGAGGGGAGCCCUUGCAGUGACAGAUAAAAGUAUCAGGAAAUGAGACAAGUCAGACUGCCAGGGAGUUGUCACUCCGGCCCCUUCCCCCAGCAGGCUGCUAAUCAAAGGUGAUACAACUCAGUGCUGGGACCAAAUGGCAAAGCCAUGGACAAGGUUCUCAUGAGCUUAGUGACACGAUGAGAUGUCCCAUGUGCUUCCAAACGAACUACAGGAUAGAGGUGACCAAAGUAAUAUUGGCAGUGGUUUCCUUCAAACCCAAGGAGUCAUUCAUCUGUAGCUCAGCAAGGAGGCUCUCAGCCCCAAAGCAUCCCCCACCACCCCUCCUGGGCAACCACACCCACACAUCAAAGGGAACCUAACAGUCCAGACCCCUGCCAACACCAGACCAGGUACCGGAAGCAGAACAUGUCAGAGAACACCUGAGGCUCUUCAUUUGUUGGGGGGCGGGAAUGGUUAUAAAUAUGAUUUAUUUCACAGGAUUGUAGUAAGGAUUAAACAAGAUCAUGUCUCAUGUAUAAAGUGCACAGCAAGGGAGUUCCCAUUGUGGUUCAAAGGGUUACAAACCCAACCAGUAUCCAUAAGAGGGUGCAUUUGAUCC
rnacentral:lncRNA from 1 species